rnacentral:rRNA from 1 species
UACAGAGGAUGCAAGCGUUAUCCGGAAUGAUUGGGCGUAAAGCGUCUGUAGGUGGCUUCUUAAGUCCGCCGUCAAAUCCCAGGGCUCAACUCUGGACAGGCGGUGGAAACUACCAAGCUUGAGUACGGUAGGGGCAGAGGGAAUUUCCGGUGGAGCGGUGAAAUGCGUAGAGAUCGGAAAGAACACCACCGGCGAAAGCACUCUGCUGGGCCGACACUGACACUGAGAGACGAAAGCUAGGAGAGCGAAUGGG